rnacentral:rRNA from 1 species
UACGUAGGUGGCAAGCGUUGUCCGGAGUUAUUGGGCGUAAAGCGCGCGCAGGCGGUCCUUUAAGUCUGAUGUGAAAGCCCACGGCUCAACCGUGGAGGGUCAUUGGAAACUGGGGGACUUGAGUGCAGAAGAGGAAAGCGGAAUUCCACGUGUAGCGGUGAAAUGCGUAGAGAUGUGGAGGAACACCAGUGGCGAAGGCGGCUUCUGGUCUGUAACUGACGCUGAGGCGCGAAAGCGUGGGGAGCAAACAGG